AGCAGCCGCGGUAAUUCCAGCUCCAAUAGCGUAUAUUAAAGUUGUUGCAGUUAAAAAGCUCGUAGUUGAAUUUCGAGACCGGCUUACUGGUCGUGCUAUUGUACGUACUGGUAUAAUCGGUUUCUCCUUUCUGACGAACUAUAAUGCCAUUAAUUUGGUGUUAUAGGGAAUCAGGACUGUUACUUUGAAAAAAUUUAGAGUGUUUAAAGCAGGCUCACGCUUGAAUACAUUAGCAUGGAAUAACGGAAUAGGACGUUUGAUUCUAUUUUGUUGGUUUCUAGGAUCGACGUAAUGAUUAAUAGGGAUAGUUGGGGGCAUUAGUAUUCAAUUGUCAGAGGUGAAAUUCUUGGAUUUAUUGAAGACUAACUACUGCGAAAGCAUUUGCCAAGGAUGUUUUCAUUAAUCAAGAACGAAAGUUAGGGGAUCGAAGACGAUCAGAUACCGUCGUAGUCUUAACCAUAAACUAUGCCGACUAGGGAUCGGAUGAUGUUAAUUUUUUAAUGACUCAUUCGGCGCCUUA
rnacentral:rRNA from 1 species